rnacentral:rRNA from 1 species
GAUGAACGCUGGCGGCGUGCCUAACACAUGCAAGUCGAACGGAGUCCAGCCUUAGAGACCUUCGGGUCAAAGAGGGGAAGACUGAGUGGCGGACGGGUGAGUAACACGUGGGCAACCUGGCUCAUAGAGGGGGAUAACAGAGAGAAAUUUCUGCUAAUACCGCAUAAGCACACACUGCCGCAUGGCAGAGUGUGAAAAGAGAAUCGCUAUGAGAUGGACCCGCGUCUGAUUAGCCAGUUGGCAGGGUAAGAGCCUACCAAAGCGACGAUCAGUAGCCGAUUUGAGAGGAUGAACGGCCACAUUGAGACUGAGACACGGCACAAACUCCUACGGGAGGCAGCAGUGGGUGAUAUUGCACAAUGGGGGGAACCCUGAUGCAGCGACGCCGCGUGAGUGAAGAAGUAUUUCGGUAUGUAAAGCUCUAUCAGCAGGGAAGAUAAUGACAGUACCUGAAUAAGAAGCCCCGGCUAACUACGUG